UACGGGGGGGGCAAGCGGUUGUUCGGAAUUACUGGGCGUAAAGGGCUCGUAGGCGGCCAACUAAGUCGGAUGUGAAAUCCCCAGGCUUAACCUGGGAACUGCAUCCGAUACUGGAUGGCUUGAAUCCGGGAGAGGGAUGCAGAAUUCCAGGUGUAGCGGUGAAAUGCGUAGAUAUCUGGAGGAAUACCGGUGGCGAAGGCGGCAUCCUGGACCGACAUUGACGCUGAACGGCGAAAGCUAGGGGAGCAAACGGG
rnacentral:rRNA from 1 species